AUUGAACGCUGGCGGCAGGCCUAACACAUGCAAGUCGAGCGGUAGAUACUUUCGGGUAUUGAGAGCGGCGGACGGGUGGGUAACGCGUGGGAAUCUGGCUCUUAGAGGGGGACAACUUGUGGAAACGCAAGCUAAUACCGCAUACGCCCUAAGGGGGAAAGCAGGGGAUCUUCGGACCUUGCGCUAAGAGAUGAGCCCGCGUGUGAUUAGCUAGUUGGUAGGGUAAAGGCCUACCCAGGAGACGAUCCGUAACUUGGCGGAGAGGAUGAUCAGUCACACUGGUACUGAGACACUGUCCAGACUCCUACGGGAGGCAGCAGUGGGGAAUAUUGGACAGUGGGGGCAACCCUGAUCCAGCCAUGCCGCGUGUGUGAAGAAGGCCUUCGGGUUGUAAAGCACUUUAAGUUGGGAGGAAAGGGUUAUGGCUAAUAUCCAUGAUCUAUGACGUUACCAACAGAAUAAGCACCGGCUAACUCCAUGCCAGCCGCCGCCGUAA
rnacentral:rRNA from 1 species